GGGUUGUGAGGUUAAGCGACUAAGCGUACACGGUGGAUGCCCUGGCAGUCAGAGGCGAUGAAGGACGUGCUAAUCUGCGAAAAGCGCCGGCGAGGUGAUAUGAACCUUUGACCCGGCGAUGUCCGAAUGGGGAAACCCAGUGCAAUCCGUUGCACUAUCGUUAACUGAAUACAUAGGUUAACGAGGCGAACCGGGGGAACUGAAACAUCUAAGUACCCCGAGGAAAAGAAAUCAACCGAGAUUCCCCCAGUAGCGGCGAGCGAACGGGGAGCAGCCCGGAGUCUGAAUCAGCUUGUGUGUUAGUGGAACGGUCUGGAAAGUCCGACGGUACAGGGUGAUAGUCCCGUACACGAAAGCACACAUGCUGUGAACUCGAAGAGUAGGGCGGGACACGUGGUAUCCUGUCUGAAUAUGGGGGGACCAUCCUCCAAGGCUAAAUACUCCUGACUGACCGAUAGUGAACCAGUACCGUGAGGGAAAGGCGAAAAGAACCCCGGCGAGGGGAGUGAAAAAGAACCUGAAACCGUGUACGUACAAGCAGUGGGAGCCUCUUUAUGGGGUGACUGCGUACCUUUUGUAUAAUGGGUCAGCGACUUAUAUUCUGUAGCAAGGUUAACCGUAUAGGGGAGCCGAAGGGAAACCGAGUCUUAACUGGGCGUUAAGUUGCAGGGUAUAGACCCGAAACCCGGUGAUCUAGCCAUGGGCAGGUUGAAGGUUGGGUAACACUAACUGGAGGACCGAACCGACUAAUGUUGAAAAAUUAGCGGAUGACCUGUGGCUGGGGGUGAAAGGCCAAUCAAACCGGGAGAUAGCUGGUUCUCCCCGAAAGCUAUUUAGGUAGCGCCUCGUGAACUCAUCUUCGGGGGUAGAGCACUGUUUCGGCUAGGGGGCCAUCCCGGCUUACCAACCCGAUGCAAACUACGAAUACCGAAGAAUGUUAUCACGGGAGACACACGGCGGGUGCUAACGUCCGUCGUGAAGAGGGAAACAACCCAGACCGCCAGCUAAGGUCCCAAAGUCAUGGUUAAGUGGGAAACGAUGUGGGAAGGCACAGACAGCCAGGAUGUUGGCUUAGAAGCAGCCAUCAUUUAAAGAAAGCGUAAUAGCUCACUGGUCGAGUCGGCCUGCGCGGAAGAUGUAACGGGGCUAAACCAUGCACCGAAGCUGCGGCAGCGACGCUUAUGCGUUGUUGGGUAGGGGAGCGUUCUGUAAGCCGUUGAAGGUGUGCUGUGAGGCAUGCUGGAGGUAUCAGAAGUGCGAAUGCUGACAUAAGUAACGAUAAAGCGGGUGAAAAGCCCGCUCGCCGGAAGACCAAGGGUUCCUGUCCAACGUUAAUCGGGGCAGGGUGAGUCGACCCCUAAGGCGAGGCCGAAAGGCGUAGUCGAUGGGAAACAGGUUAAUAUUCCUGUACUUGGUGUUACUGCGAAGGGGGGACGGAGAAGGCUAUGUCAGCCGGGCGACGGUUGUCCCGGUUUAAGCAUGUAGGCGGAGGUUCCAGGUAAAUCCGGUACCUUGUUAACGCUGAGGUGUGAUGACGAGGCACUACGGUGCUGAAGUGAUAAAUGCCCUGCUUCCAGGAAAAGCCUCUAAGCAUCAGGUAACACGAAAUCGUACCCCAAACCGACACAGGUGGUCAGGUAGAGAAUACCAAGGCGCUUGAGAGAACUCGGGUGAAGGAACUAGGCAAAAUGGUGCCGUAACUUCGGGAGAAGGCACGCUGAUGUGUAGGUGAAGUCCCUGCGGACGGAGCUGAAAUCAGUCGAAGAUACCAGCUGGCUGCAACUGUUUAUUAAAAACACAGCACUGUGCAAACACGAAAGUGGACGUAUACGGUGUGACGCCUGCCCGGUGCCGGAAGGUUAAUUGAUGGGGUUAGCGGCAACGCGAAGCUCUUGAUCGAAGCCCCGGUAAACGGCGGCCGUAACUAUAACGGUCCUAAGGUAGCGAAAUUCCUUGUCGGGUAAGUUCCGACCUGCACGAAUGGCGUAAUGAUGGCCAGGCUGUCUCCACCCGAGACUCAGUGAAAUUGAACUCGCUGUGAAGAUGCAGUGUACCCGCGGCAAGACGGAAAGACCCCGUGAACCUUUACUAUAGCUUGACACUGAACACUGGUCCUUGAUGUGUAGGAUAGGUGGGAGGCUUUGAAGCGUGGACGCCAGUCUGCGUGGAGCCAACCUUGAAAUACCACCCUUUAAUGGCUGGUGUUCUAACGUAGACCCGUAAUCCGGGUUGCGGACAGUGUCUGGUGGGUAGUUUGACUGGGGCGGUCUCCUCCCAAAGAGUAACGGAGGAGCACGAAGGUUGGCUAAUCCUGGUCGGACAUCAGGAGGUUAGUGCAAUGGCAUAAGCCAGCUUGACUGCGAGCGUGACGGCGCGAGCAGGUGCGAAAGCAGGUCAUAGUGAUCCGGUGGUUCUGAAUGGAAGGGCCAUCGCUCAACGGAUAAAAGGUACUCCGGGGAUAACAGGCUGAUACCGCCCAAGAGUUCAUAUCGACGGCGGUGUUUGGCACCUCGAUGUCGGCUCAUCACAUCCUGGGGCUGAAGUAGGUCCCAAGGGUAUGGCUGUUCGCCAUUUAAAGUGGUACGCGAGCUGGGUUUAGAACGUCGUGAGACAGUUCGGUCCCUAUCUGCCGUGGGCGCUGGAGAAUUGAGGGGGGCUGCUCCUAGUACGAGAGGACCGGAGUGGACGCAUCACUGGUGUUCGGGUUGUCAUGCCAAUGGCACUGCCCGGUAGCUAAAUGCGGAAGAGAUAAGUGCUGAAAGCAUCUAAGCACGAAACUUGCCCCGAGAUGAGUUCUCCCUGAGACCUUGAGUCUCCUGAAGGAACGUUGAAGACGACGACGUUGAUAGGUCGGGUGUGUAAGCGCAGCGAUGCGUUGAGCUAACCGAUACUAAUGAACCGUGAGGCUUAACCUUACAACGCCGAAGGUGUUU
rnacentral:rRNA from 1 species